UACAGAGGGUGCGAGCGUUACUCGGAAUUACUGGGCGUAAAGCGCACGUAGGUGGCGACGUAAGUCGGGUGUGAAAGCCCCGGGCUCAACCUGGGAAUUGCAUUCGAGACUGCAUUGCUGGAGUACGGAAGAGGAGGGCGGAAUUCCCGGUGUAGCGGUGAAAUGCGUAGAUAUCGGGAGGAACAUCAGUGGCGAAGGCGGCCCUCUGGUCCAGUACUGACACUCAAGUGCGAAAGCGUGGGGAGCAAACAGG
rnacentral:rRNA from 1 species